rnacentral:rRNA from 1 species
CUACGGGGUGCUGCAGGCGCGAAACCUUUACAAUGUACGUAAGUGCGAUAAGGGAACUCCCAGUGCUCAUGUAAUGCAUGGGCUUUUGUUAAGUGUAAAUAGCUUGGCGAAUAAGUGGUGGGUAAGACGGGUGCCAGCCGCCGCGGUAACACCUGCGCCACGAGUGGCAUUCACGUUUACUGGGCCUAAAGCGUUCGUAGCCGGAUAGAUAAGUCUUAAGUGAAAUCAUUGCGCUUAACAAAACGACGUGCUUGAGAUACUGUUUAUCUAGGGACCGGGAGGAGUUAGGGGUAUUCCAGAGGGAGCGGUAAAAUGCUGUAAUCUCUGGAGGACCACCUGUGGCGAAGGCGCCUAACUAGAACGGGUCCGACGGUGAGGAACGAAAGCCAGGGGAGCAAAACGGAUUAGAUACCCGGGUAGUC